GUAGGAUAUGGGGACUAUUACCCCGUGACUGGAGAAGGGAAGCUGAUUGGUUGUCUGUGUACAAUACUCGGUGCACUUGCAUUCUCACUUCCGGUGAUCGUGCUUGCAGCGAAC